UACAGAGGGUGCGAGCGUUGUUCGGAAUCAUUGGGCGUAAAGCGCUUGUAGGCGGCUUGUUAAGUCGCGUGUGAAAUCCCUUGGCUCAACCAAGGAAGUGCGCGCGAAACUGGCGAGCUCGAGUGCCGGAGAGGGGUCGCGGAAUUCCCGGUGUAGAGGUGAAAUUCGUAGAUAUCGGGAGGAACACCAGUGGCGAAGGCGGCGACCUGGACGGACACUGACGCGAGACGCGAAAGCGUGGGUGAAA
rnacentral:rRNA from 1 species